GUGCCAGCCGCGGCGGUAAUACGUAGGGUGCGAGCGUUGUCCGGAAUUAUUGGGCGUAAAGGGCUCGUAGGCGGUUAGUCGCGUCGGGAGUGAAAACUCGGAGCUUAACUCCGAGCCUGCUUCCGAUACGGGCUGACUAGAGGUAUGCAGGGAGAAUGGAAUUCCUGGUGUAGCGGUGAAAUGCGCAGAUAUCAGGAGGAACACCGGUGGCGAAGGCGGUUCUCUGGGCAUUACCUGACGCUGAGGAGCGAAAGUGUGGGAGCGAACAGGAUUAGAUACCCUGGUAGUCCACACCGUAAACGUUGGCGCUAGGUGUGGGACUCAUUCCACGAGUUCCGUGCCGCAGCUAACGCAUUAACGCGCCCGCCUGGGAGUACGGCCGCAAGGCUAAACUC
rnacentral:rRNA from 1 species